AAUCCGAGAAUUUCACCUCCAACGGCAGAGUACGAAUGCCCCCGUCUGUCCCUCUUGAUCAUUAACUCGAGAUCCGAAAACCAACAAAAUAGAACCGAAUUCAUAUUUCAUUAUUCCAUGCACGAAUAUUCAGACUCAAACAGGUCUGCUUUGAACACUCUAAUUUUUUCAAGGUAAACGUUUCGGCCGGGAGCGACACGCAGUUAAGCGCACCGCACCAAAACCAAAUAGAAGAACACGUCAAGCAGCGAACAGCCAGAAGCUGACCCGCUUGAACACAUUCCAAGAUCCAACUACGAGCUUUUUAACCGCAACAACUUUAGUAUACGCUAUUGGAGCUGGAAUUACCGC
rnacentral:misc_RNA from 1 species